rnacentral:tRNA from 1 species
UGUUCUGUGGCUUAGUUGGUUAAGGCACCGGUCUAGUGUAUACGGAGUCGUGGGUUCAAAUCCCACCAGAGCGC